CAGACUCCUACGGGAGGCAGCAGUGGGGAAUCUUGCGCAAUGGGCGGAAGCCUGACGCAGCAACGCCGCGUGCGGGAUGACGGCCUUCGGGUUGUAAACCGCUUUCAGCAGGGGCGAAGCUUUUGUGACGGUACCUGCAGAAGAAGCACCGGCCAACUACGUGCCAGCAGCCGCGGUGAUACGUAGGGUGCGAGCGUUGUCCGGAAUUAUUGGGCGUAAAGAGCUUGUAGGCGGUUUGUCGCGUCGGAAGUGAAAACUCGGGGCUUAACUUCGAGCUUGCUUCCGAUACGGGCUGACUAGAGGAAGUUAGGGGAGAACGGAAUUCCUGGUGGAGCGGUGGAAUGCGCAGAUAUCAGGAGGAACACCGGUGGCGAAGGCGGUUCUCUGGGACUUUCCUGACGCUGAGAAGCGAAAGCGUGGGGAGCAAACAG
rnacentral:rRNA from 1 species